AAUGUUAUUUUUGGCUGGAUCAGGCUGUUUUCUCUCUCCAAGUUCCACAGGCUGACACGAGCCAUCCACGACUUGUCCUGCAGCCAAGAGGAUCCAGGUCAGUGCUGGGGAGCAGGACUGUGCUGCCACGGGGAUCUCCACACUGCAGCCCUUGCCUGCAGCCACGGCAGGUGAGGGCAGUGCCCUCUGAAGCAGGAGGACACCUCCAUGUGUGCCACUGUCCUUGGAUGAGGGAGGAUGGCAGGAGAAGAGGGCCAAGGCAUCCCUGGAGAAGUCCUGCAAGCUGCCAGCUUGCCAUUUGUACCAUCCUGUGCUCUCCCCUGGAGCAUCCCUGAGCCACCCAGGACAGUGAGCUCCAUCCUGUGAUCCCUGCCAUGGCCAGGGCCUGUCUGCAGCUCAGCAGCCUCCCUGCCCAUCAUCAGUGGCCCAAGAUGUGUAAAUCUCUGCCUGGCCAGUGAGUUUUUGUGCUGGCAAAGCUCUGUCCCAGGCUGUGGGCAAGCAGAGCAUCCCUGGAGCUGCUUGGAAACACAGUGAGGGAAGAUCCACCCAGAUGCUCUUAUCCCAGCAUGGUGCACCAGCACUGCCAGCAGCAGCAGAAUGCUCUGAAAAACCCACGUGAGGGUUAAAACAAGGAACACCAGGAGAUGCAGAUGUGCUGGGCCUCCAGAGCUGCUCUGUGCCAUGCUCAAGCCUCCUCCAGACCAGUCUGAGUCAGAGCCUG
rnacentral:lncRNA from 1 species